UUCCUCUGUGUAACAGCCAAUGACUUUUAUAGAAUCAGUGAUUAGCAAACCAACCUCUGUAUCCGUCUCACAUUCUCCUCCAUCUUCUCGUUGGCGAUCUUAGCGAGGAAACUGAUGUACUCGUGGUCCACCAGGAGCACUCCGUUUCUGCUGAGAGGAACCUCUAAGCCAUGUGUGCUCCGGACUGCCUACAGGACCGAAUAUAGCAAAGCUGUGCAUCUUUCAGCUGCCUGCACUGAACAUGGAGAACAAAGGGCUCAAACUUCAACACGGCAUCUGCACUGGACCGGGCCAGGCCAGACAUCUGCAGAGACAGAAGCACACAUGUAAUGUGUUUUAAUAUCUGAUGCAUUAUAUUAAAUUUAAUUGAUAUAACAAGAA